AGCGAACGCUGGCGGCAGGCCUAACACAUGCAAGUCGAACGAACCCUUCGGGGUUAGUGGCGGACGGGUGAGUAACACGUGGGAACGUGCCUUUAGGUUCGGAAUAACUCAGGGAAACUUGUGCUAAUACCGAAUGUGCCCUUCGGGGGAAAGAUUUAUCGCCUUUAGAGCGGCCCGCGUCUGAUUAGCUAGUUGGUGAGGUAAUGGCUCACCAAGGCUACGAUCAGUAGCUGGUCUGAGAGGAUGACCAGCCACAUUGGGACUGAGUCACGGCCCAAACUCCUACGGGAGGCAGCAGUGGGGAAGCUUGCGCAAUGGGCGAAAGCCUGACGCAGCCAUGCCGCGUGGAUGAUGAAGGUCUUAGGAGUGUAAAAUCCUUUCACCGGUGAAGAUAAUGACUGUAGCCGGAGAAGAAGCCCCGGCUAACUUCGUGCCAGCCGCCGCAGUAACAC
rnacentral:rRNA from 1 species